GAUAUAGGUUAAUUCAUUUAUUUAUUUAUUUAUUGUUAGGAAUCACAGAAAAGAAAGAAUUCCCAGAAAUUAUUUUUCUUGGAACAGGAGCCUCGCGACCAAAUUUGCGGAGAAAUGUCAGCAGCAUUUUAGUGCAUCUUAGUUCUGAUGAAAGCAUCCUGUUAGAUUGUGGAGAGGGAACUUAUGCGCAACUUGUUCGUUUCUAUGGUGAUAAAGUAGUAGAUGUCAUGGCAAAACUGAAGGCUAUCUACAUAUCACAUUUGCAUAUAGACCAUCACAUGGGUAUUUGUACAGUACUCCUUCAACGCAGAAAUCUUCUUCAGAGGUUAGGGCUGGAAGUAGAGCCUGUAAUGGUGAUUGCAGGAAGAUUUAUGAGUCCUUGGAUCCAGACAAUUGGGGAAGAUUUUAUUGAAGACAUAAACAGUUUAUUUGAGCUGUUUUCCACAAAUGACUUCAUGCCAGACAAGUAUUGGGUUUCAAACCGACAGCGUGUAAGAAAACAAUUAGUUCAAAGACAUGUCACAAAUACACUUGGGCUUACAGAGUUCAGGACAACACUGGUGGGGCAUUGUAGAGGUGCUACUGGUUUGUUAUUGAGGCACAAAAAAAACUGGAGCUUAGUUUACUCAGGGGAUGCAGAGUAUUCUCGCAAUUUGGUAGCGCUAGGCAAAGACUGUGAUGUUCUAAUCCAUGAGGCUACAUUUUCUGAAGAGGAAAAAGACCUGGCAGUUCUUCAUAAACAUUGUACUACUUCUCAAGCCAUUCAGGUUGGGCAGGAAAUGAAUGCUAAAUUUACAUUGCUCACCCACUUUAGCCAACGAUAUGGGAGGGUACCUGAAUUCAACGAUUCUUUUAAUGACAAGGUUGGAGUUGCUCAUGAUUUCAUGAGGGUACGUUUGACAGACCUUCCUCUAUUGCCAAUGUUUAAUCAUCCCCUUGAAUUACUCUUCUCAUCAGAGAGAAAUUAACAAGACGCAAGGGUAUUUACUGAUAUGAAAAUGAAAUAGAAGCAGACUGAUAGUGGAACAUCUCAUUGCAGACUGAUUAGGAAUACCAAAUGGUGUUGCUGACCAUCUAGGUCUCAAGAUCCCAUCAACAGAUGAAGGCUGUUUGAAAAAAGCUUGUCAAGCACAACACUGGAGGUGGUGUCCCUAUGUUAUCCAUACAAAUGUGCUUACUCCAGCUGGUGGUACAAUACCCCAAGGCGGUAUCGUCUCUCUGAUCUUCUAGAUAAAUUUGAAUCAAUAAUUUUUCACAGAACAAUAUUUUUUAGUUAUGAUUUAAGUAGUGAUUCAGAAGUUUCGUAAAAUAAUGGCUUUGCAUCAGAAAGUACAUUACACCAGUAACUUGAGAUGACAAUCCUUGAAAAAGACAGAUACCAGAGAUAUAUACUGACAGUCAAUGAAAAUGCAUAAGAAAACUUUCUUGUACUUUUGUACUCUUGUACUUUUACCGAGAAUCGAUUCCAACCAUAUAAAUGAGUACAAAUGCAAUUUUUUGGUCAUAAGAAAGUGGACUGACCAUUCAGAUGUUUAAAAUUCCCGCUUCAGUGAUUUUGUGAUCAAAAUUGUGUUUUCCCUAUCGCGUGAUUGGUGUGAAUUAAUCAGGUUCAAUAUAUGGUGAUUAAUUAAGCCUAUUUAAGGUAAUCACCAAAUCCAGUAUGACACAUGACAAAGUUCAGUGAUGCCACGUCUGACACUGGAAGGGCGACUGCGGGCCCUGGGGUUGCUGGAGGCUGGGCGGAACCAAAGAGAUUUGAUCACGUGACCUUGCAUUUUAAUGAUCUUUUUUUUUUAAUGAUCUUUUCUGACUUUUAUU